CAAAGCUUAUCAUUUUAACAUCCUUAAUUCCUCAACUCUAAAUUAACCCUUCACCAAUACUGAACUAUUUUAUACUAAUAUAAAAGUUAUUAUGCUAGAACUAGUAACAAGAAAUUGCUUUCUCCAAAAUGUAUGUUUAAACCAACACGGACAAACCAUUGGUAAUUAACACAAAUGCAUUAAUCUUAGUAACACCUCCAGAAAACUCUAAGAAUUUAAGUGUUCAUCUUACACUAGAACAUUACAGGAAAGAUUAAAAGAAAGGGAAGGAACUCGGCAAAUCAUAGUCCCGCCUGUUUACCAAAAACAUCGCCUCCUGAUAAACAUAGGAGGUCUAGCCUGCCCAGUGACAACGUUCAACGGCCGCGGUACCCUAACCGUGCGAAGGUAGCAUAAUCACUUGUUCUUUAAAUGGGGACUCGUAUCAACGGCACCACGAGGACUAUACUGUCUCCCCUCUCCAAUCAGUGAAACUGAUCUCCCCGUGAAGAAGCGGGGAUUUAACUAUAAGACGAGAAGACCCCAUGGAGCUUCAGACUUAAUAUACACCCUUGCACAUCUAUAACAGUAUAGCUAUUAAAAUAUGUAUAUUGUCUUCGGUUGGGGGGACCGCGGAGUAAAACUCAACCUCCACGACAAACGGGCCAACGCCCUUAUCCAAGAAACACAUUUCUAAGAGUCAAUAAAUUGUUGUUUAUGACCCAUUAAAUGAUCAACGAACCAAGUUACCCUGGGGAUAACAGCGCAAUCUACUUCAAGAGCCCCUAUCGACAAGUAGGUUUACGACCUCGAUGUUGGAUCAGGGAAUCCCAGUGGCGCAACCGCUACUAAUGGUUCGUUUGUUCAACGAUUAAAACC
rnacentral:rRNA from 1 species